rnacentral:miRNA from 1 species
UGAUAAUGAAUUCUUUGGAUG